GCUGGCAUGACAUAGUGGUUUGAGUACUGGACUACAAUUCUGGAGGCCAGGGUUCAAUUCAUUGCUCAGCC